ACAGCUGAGGGCAUAAUAGUAACAUUACUUUUCGUGUCCCCCUGCAAAAAGACGAAAAAACCCUUCACACUAAUCAACCCUAACCCUUACUGCUCAACUGUUUUCUCUCUCCUCCUCCCGUUUUCUUUCUCGACCCUCUUCGAUCUAUUCCUCUACAAAUACCUUCAUCCUCUCCACGAUCUUCUUCAUCCUCUCCUUCGAUCUUCUUCCUCUCCUUCAAUUCGAGCCAACGACGAAAGCCACCCCUGGGAUUUGGAUUCCUUCGGAUUUUCAUCAAUUUUGUGGUUUCUUCGGAUUUGAUUCUGUUUUUGCGACCCCGAUUUUACAAGUUUUAGACCGGCGGAUGGAGGGCGGGGAUGGCGAUUUUCCGACAACAACAACAACAAUAACAGCAGCAAUAAUCGCGGAACAAAGCCGAGACAAGGGUGAAAUAUCAGGUUAAGGAUUUGCAAGUUUCUGGGUUGGUUUUUGCUAUAUUGCAAGAAUCGGCUACUAAGUUUUAGGUGGGCAGCUAGAGUUGGAUUCUGAUGGCUAUGUGGUGACUACACCGGGUACGAGGAAGACCAAUGUUAAAGGAACAUCGCUGCUGGUGAUGUUCAGGAUA